rnacentral:tRNA from 1 species
GCCUCGGUAGUGUAGCCAGGCCUAUCAUCGCUAACGGUGAAGGAUCGUUAGGGAGAGUGGGUCUGUCAGACCCAGGACCCGGGUUCAAAUCCCGGCCGAGGCG